UGGGGAAUAUUGCACAAUGGAGGGAACCCUGAUGCAGCGACGCCGCGUGAACGAAGAAGGCUUUCGAGUCGUAAAGUUCUUUUAUAUGGGAAGAUAAUGACGGUACCAUAAGAAGAAGCCCCGGCUAACUACGUGCCAGCAGCCGCGGUAAUACGUAGGGGGCUAGCGUUGUCCGGAAUCACUGGGCGUAAAGGGUUCGCAGGCGGAAAUGCAAGUCAGGUGUAAAAGGCAGUAGCUUAACUACUGUAAGCAUUUGAAACUGCAUAUCUUGAGAAGAGUAGAGGUAAGUGGAAUUUUUAGUGUAGCGGUGAAAUGCGUAGAUAUUAAAAAGAAUACCGGUGGCGAAGGCGACUUACUGGGCUCAUUCUGACGCUGAGGAACGAAAGCGUGGGUAGCAAACAGG
rnacentral:rRNA from 1 species